rnacentral:rRNA from 1 species
UACAGAGGGUGCAAGCGUUAUCCGGAUUCACUGGGUUUAAAGGGUGCGUAGGAGGACUGGUAAGUCAGUGGUGAAAUCCCCGAGCUUAACUUGGGAACUGCCGUUGAUACUAUCAGUCUUGAAUACCGUGGAGGUGAGCGGAAUAUGUCAUGUAGCGGUGAAAUGCUUAGAUAUGACAUAGAACACCAAUUGCGAAGGCAGCUCGCUACACGAAUAUUGACUCUGAGGCACGAAAGCGUGGGGAUCAAACAGG